CAUAAGACUCUCGGCAACGGAUAUCUUGGCUCUCGCAUCGAUGAAGAACGUAGCAAAAUGCGAUACCUGGUGUGAAUUGCAGAAUCCCGUGAACCAUCGAGUUUUUGAACGCAAGUUGCGCCUUAGGCCUCUUGGUCGAGGGCACGUCUGCCUGGGCGUCACGC
rnacentral:rRNA from 1 species